rnacentral:lncRNA from 1 species
CAAACCAAUUUCUAGCCUAAAUUCAAAUUCAAAUUCAAAUUCAAAAAUCUAGCGCCAUCCAGUCUCAACAAAAAUUUAAGGGGAAAUUAGGUCCCUUGCCCUCGAAAAAAAGAAAAAAAUUAGAAAAAAAAGUUUAAAAACUAACUGAAGUUAUUAACCGCGUAACCAAUACGGUCAAAACAUCCAAAAUCUACAGCCUUGGCACAUCGAGGUGGGAAAUUGAGGAAUACAAAUGGUGAGGGGAAGCAAAUUGCUUUUCAAAGGCGUUGGGACCGGAAUAAGCAACACUCUAGUUGAAAUACUACUAUGCCCAUUCUCCAUACAACCUCUGAGACUGAAAGAAAAUGAAUUCUCUAAUUAGUGAAUCUAUUAGGGUUUCAUAUUGAAUUUUCGUCUUGUGCUGUCUAUGGAUGGAAAGAUUAUUGAUUUCAAUGAAAGAUUCACGUCUGUUUGUGUGGCAUUUUCAGGAGGAAAAAAAAAUGAGAAAUUGGACCGUUGAAGCACAAGUCAAGCCGCAACUUUUGACUGAUUGUCUCUAACGUGGGUCCUACCUGCAGCAUCAACGGUCAAAAAAAUUCUAUUAAUUUCCUUCAAAAUGUGACACAAACAGGAGCUCAAUUUUGAAGGCAUCAAACACGAGUCAAUCUAUUGAAAUUAUCAAUUAGGAUUUUGGAAUGUGAAAAUGGGAAUCAAAAUCCCCAAUUUGAUUAUCAAUUCCACGUUUGUUGUUAUGUUUUAUAUUGGUGAUUAUUGAGUGUUUAAUGAUUGCCAAGAUUUAUGCUAUAUGUUUGUUUAUGAAUUGCCUUGUUAUUCUUCCAGUUUGGCAAAUAUAAAUACAAUUUUGCAAAUUAAUUCA